GACGAACGCUGGCGGCGUGCCUAAUACAUGCAAGUCGAACGCAGUGGGGACGGGUGAGUAACACGUGGGUAACCUCCCAUCAGAGGGGAUAACACUUGGAAACAGGUGCUAAACCGAUACUGAUGGAUGGACUCGGGGUGCAUUGGCUAGUUGGUGAGGUAACGGCUCACCAAGGCCACGAUGCAUAGACGACCUGAGAGGGGGAUCGGCCACACGGGGACUGAGAAACGGCCCAGAGCCCUAAGGAAGGCAGCAGGAGGGAAUCGUCGGCAAUGGACGAAAGUCUGACCGAGCAACGCCGCGUGAGUGAAGAAGGUUUUCGGAUCGUAAAACUCUGUUGUUAGAGAAGCGGUAUCUAACCAGAAAGCCACGGCUAACUACGUGCCAGCAGCCGCGGUAAUUC
rnacentral:rRNA from 1 species